rnacentral:rRNA from 1 species
CCUACGGGAGGCAGCAGUGGGGAAUUUUGGACAAUGGGCGCAAGCCUGAUCCAGCCAUUCCGCGUGCAGGAUGAAGGCCUUCGGGUUGUAAACUGCUUUUGUACGGAACGAAACGGCCUUUUCUAAUACAAGAGGCUAAUGACGGUACCGUAAGAAUAAGCACCGGCUAACUACGUGCCAGCAGCCGCGGUAAUACGUAGGGUGCAAGCGUUAAUCGGAAUUACUGGGCGUAAAGCGUGCGCAGGCGGUUAUGUAAGACAGUUGUGAAAUCCCCGGGCUCAACCUGGGAACUGCAUCUGUGACUGCAUAGCUAGAGUACGGCAGAGGGGGAUGGAAUUCCGCGUGUAGCAGUGAAAUGCGUAGAUAUGCGGAGGAACACCGAUGGCGAAGGCAAUCCCCUGGGCCUGUACUGACGCUCAUGCACGAAAGCGUGGGGAGCAAACAGGAUUAGAUACCCUGGUAGUCCACGCCCUAAACGAUGUCAACUGGUUGUUGGGUCUUCACUGACUCAGUAACGAAGCUAACGCGUAAAGUUGACCGCCUGGGGAGUACGGCCGCAAGGUUGAAACUCAAAUGAAUUGACGG